GGCUCGGUUGAGAGGCCGGCCCGUGGGCGUUAGCGGGUCCUCGCUGUUGGCUGGAAUGUCCCGUUCUCGUGGUUUCGGUCGUCUGAUGUUGACACUCCCCACCCGUCGGUGGGAGUUGGCCUCUGAUGGUCGGGGCCGGGCAUUCCCCUCCCCCUUUUGCCCCGUCUUUGGGGCAUCUGGGGCCGCUUUUUCCAUAAAGCACAUUGAGAAACAUGAAUUUUAGGGGCUGAGCCUUGGAGCCCUUGUUGCCUUCGGGUGACGGGGCCCGAGUCAUAAACCAAAGUAACGACUCUCAGCAACGGAUAUCUUGGCUCUUGCAACGAUGAAGAACGCAGCGAAAUGCGAUACCUAGUGUGAAUUGCAGAAUUCCGCGAAUCAUCGAGUCUUUGAACGCAAGUUGCGCCCGAGGCUUGUCCCGAGGGCAUGCCUGCCUGAGCGUCACCGCACUCCCACCUGGACACUCUCCAGUGUGGAACUGGCCGUCCGGGAGCUUUGGCCCACAUGGGCUUUGGGUCGUGGUUGGCUGAAAUGUAACUAUCUGGGCGUGGCCGAAGGGAGGGGUCGCGAGAAGGUGAUUCGCUCUAUGUGGGGCGGAGUUUUUGGACAGCACCUCUGCCUUUGGCAGUCCCAGAUGGUGGCACUCGCGUGUCAUUUGGGGAGAUGCAACUUACUGCUGCACCUCCCUGCCUUACGGCUUGGACCUCAGAUCAGGCAAGAUUACCCGCUGAGUUUAAGCAUAUCACUAA
rnacentral:rRNA from 1 species